GGACUCGUAGCUCAGCUGGAUAGAGCAUCUGCCUUCUAAGCAGACGGUCGCAGGUUCGAAUCCUGCCGGGUUCACGA
rnacentral:tRNA from 2 species